rnacentral:piRNA from 1 species
UAUCAACCACUGGUCCUCAGCAAUGACUU